rnacentral:rRNA from 1 species
GAUGAACGCUAGCGGCAGGCUUAAUACAUGCAAGUCGAGGGGCAGCACAGGUAGCAAUACUGGGUGGCGACCGGCAAACGGGUGCGGAACACGUACGCAACCUUCCUUUAAGUGAGGAAUAGCCCAGGGAAACUUGGAUUAAUACCUCGUAAUAUUUUUGGGUGGCAUCACCUGAUAAUUAUAGCUCCGGCGCUUAAAGAUGGGCGUGCGCCUGAUUGGGUAGUUGGCGGGGUAACGGCCCACCAAGCCUACGAUCAGUAACUGGUGUGAGAGCACAACCAGUCACACGGGCACUGAGACACGGGCCCGACUCCUACGGGAGGCAGCAGUAAGGAAUAUUGGUCAAUGGACGCAAGUCUGAACCAGCCAUGCCGCGUGGAGGAUGACUGCCCUCUGGGUUGUAAACUCCUUUUAUCUGGGAAGAAAUGCAUUUUUUCUAAAGUGUUUGACGGUACCAGAGGAAUAAGCACCGGCUAACUCCGUGCCAGCCGCCGCAGUAACAC